GGAUUUCUUCCUGUUUUCCAUUACCCGUGAAGCAGAAGCCGAUUUUAUUGUGAGCGUGGAAAAGCAACGAAUUAUUUGCUCUUUAUCAUAUCCUUAUUAUUUCCUGGUGCACACAGAAAACCUGCUACCUCAUCUGUAGAUCACAAAAUCAAGGAAUUCAGGCCCAACCUAGCGCAUAUGCUUACUUUGAUCAUUAGCUUGUCCCAAACCUAUUCUUCCCACCUCUACAAUUACAUGAUCGUAAUGCACGAACGCUCACUGUAUUCCUUUCUCUAACUCAGCAGCUAUCAGGAAAGGGCACACUUUGUUCUUGAUUCUAAACUGAAAACUUUCUAUCAACUGCCUUAACUUCCUAACUUAGACUUUCUAUCAAUUACCCUAGCUCCCCAAAGAUUUUUAAAUCAAGCUAACUUCCCAAAACUACUUAAAUCAAUUCAGAAAUUCCAUAAGAUCAUUAGUUCAUCUAGACAUCUUUAUCUCAAGAACUUUCAUCUUUAUAUCGAUCUGCAAGAAACUUGUUCAGCAGAGUAGACUAUCACCCAGGAAAUAAUCAUACCAAGUUAUAGGCAGCGAGCGUCUCCCGGGUCCACUCACACUAACCCAAAUAAACGAGCAAUGACAAACCUGAGAAAGCACAGCAGUGCAAGGGACAAUCCUGGGACGGUCUCUGGGGUUGUACCACAUCGCAGAUGAGCAGGGCUCCAGGGAGCUCACUUGCCCAUCUUAGCUCUUCCUGCAUGGUGUCUGCCACCUGGCCUUCUUGUUUAUAAGAAGGGACCCUGACUCUGCCCAGCGGGGUUGCUUCUCAGAGCCCCUACUAUGCUCUUCUCUGCCUGUAGAAUUAAUAGCUCCUCAGUUAAACUUCUUAGCCCCAGCAACCUGCCUCAGUGUCCCCUUAAAUCCUAUACCCAAUCUCUAACUUUGUCUAAUACUGGCCUGGCCUGAAGUUCUUUUCUGUGGUGAAGUCAAAGAUCCAGCCUUACCUGGAUGGAGGUCUCGGAAAGGGAACUGUUGACUUGGCCGUGGUGGGUGUUUUUGCCCCUGUCUCUGCUGGAAAUAGACCCAGCAUUAAGAUAUUACACCGACUUUUAAAGUGGCUCUCAGGACUUCAACUCUUUCCUUGCCAUUGUUGUUCAGUUUGGUUCUUUUAAGACAGGUCACACGUAGCCUAGGCUAGUGCAACAUGAAUGAUCUUUAAAAUAAAUUAUUUUUUUCG